GAAAUGCGAUAAGUAAUGUGAAUUGCAGAAUUCAGUGAAUCAUCGAAUCUUUGAACGCACCUUGCGCUCCUUGGUAUUCCUUGGAGCAUGCCUGUUUGAGUAUCAUGAAAUCUUCAAAGUAAAUCUUUUGUUAACUCAAUUGGUUUCUACUUUGGUAUUGGAGGUCUUUGCAGCUUCACACCUGCUCCUCUUUGUUCAUUAGCUGGAUCUCAGUGUUAUGCUUGGUUCCACUCGGCGUGAUAAGUUAUCUAUCGCUGAGGACACUGUAAAAGGUGGCAAGGUAAAUGCAGAUGAACCGCUUCUAAUAGUCCAUUGACUUGGACAAUACUUUUAUGAUCUGAUCUCAAAUCAGGUAGGACUACCCGCUGAACUUAAGC
rnacentral:misc_RNA from 1 species